rnacentral:lncRNA from 1 species
CUGGUUUAUUGGUGUUUUUCGAAGGUGUUCUGUUUUUGAAUAAACUUCUUUCAUAUUGUCUUGGCUCAAAAAGGGUGACUAGGGAUAUCUUCAUUGGUGUUUGGAAUAACAAAGAAGCCUUGUGUCAUCAACACGACCUACUUGAGGGUAUACACCAUGUGAGAUUUGUUUACAUCAUCCUCCUAAAAGAGUGCGCAAAAGUAUGCAAAAAUGCAUGAUCAACGCACAAACUUCUUUUUUUUGUUUUU